CUCAGGUGUGAGACAGAAACUGUGAAAAGGCUCACAGCAGAUCUGGCAGAAAAUCAUCUGAUGGAACAGGAGACAAGGUUUAUAUUACCAAGCAGCUCAUAUAGAAGGCCGCGAUUCAGAUUUAAGCAGGCUGCUGUAGGAGCGCGGCUUGAUGUUACGCAGAGAAUGCUUCUUGAUUCCUG